GCCGGGGUGGUGGAACAGGUAGACACAGGGGACUUAAAAUCCCCUUCGCCGAAAGGCGAGUGCGGGUUCGAUCCCCGCCCCCGGCACCA
rnacentral:tRNA from 1 species